UAAGAGUUCUUUUCUUCAUUGCAUAUGUCU
rnacentral:piRNA from 1 species